rnacentral:lncRNA from 1 species
AAAUAUCUGACCGGGCAUGACACUGGCCAUAGGCUGCUGCCCAGACCCAACGGAAAGACCGCCUAAGCUCUCUCCCACGGACGGGAGAAGGGCGUGAGGAGGCAUUAUCCCCUCCUAAGCAGCCGAGAGCCGCACGUCGCUAGCUCCGCUCUCCUCCCCCUGGGGUGGGAGGCGUCGCACGCGCGCACGCUCUCACAAGUUUUUUUUGUGUGUGCGUGUGCGUGUGUGCAUGCGUGUGCUACAUAGUAGG